rnacentral:rRNA from 1 species
AAGCUCGUAGUUGAAUUUCGAGAUCAGUACGCUGGUCGUGCCUUCGGUAUGCACUGGUGUCACCGGUUUCUCCCUUCUGAAGAACCGUCAUGUCAUUAAGUUGGUGUGGCGGGGAAUCAGGACUGUUACUUUGAAAAAAUUAGAGUGUUUAAAGCAGGCUCGCGCUUGAAUACAUUAGCAUGGAAUAAUGAAAUAGGACGUUUGACCCUAUUUUGUUGGUUUCUAGGAUCGACGUAAUGAUUAAUAGGGAUAGUUGG